UACGGGAGGCAGCAGUGAGGAAUAUUGGUCAAUGGACGAGAGUCUGAACCAGCCAAGUAGCGUGAAGGAUGAAGGUCCUACGGAUUGUAAACUUCUUUUAUAAGGGAAUAAAACCUCCCACGUGUGGGAGCUUGUAUGUACCUUAUGAAUAAGCAUCGGCUAACUCCGUGCCAGCAGCCGCGGUAAUACGGAGGAUGCGAGCGUUAUCCGGAUUUAUUGGGUUUAAAGGGAGCGCAGACGGGUCGUUAAGUCAGCUGUGAAAGUUUGGGGCUCAACCUUAAAAUUGCAGUUGAUACUGGCGUCCUUGAGUGCGGUUGAGGUGUGCGGAAUUCGUGGUGUAGCGGUGAAAUGCUUAGAUAUCACGAAGAACUCCGAUUGCGAAGGCAGCACACUAAGCCGUAACUGACGUUCAUGCUCGAAA
rnacentral:rRNA from 1 species